GCCAUCUUAGCUCAGUUGGCUAGAGCGCGUGACUUGUAAUCUCGAGGUCCCCGGUUCAAUUCCGGGAGAUGGCU
rnacentral:tRNA from 1 species